rnacentral:rRNA from 1 species
UUUUAUUUGAGAGUUUGAUCCUGGCUCAGGAUGAACGCUGGCGGCGUGCCUAACACAUGCAAGUUGAGCGAUUUACUUCGGUAAAGAGCGGCGGACGGGUGAGUAACGCGUGGGUAACCUACCCUGUACACACGGAUAACAUACCGAAAGGUAUGCUAAUACGGGAUAAUAUAUCUGAGAGGCAUCUCUUGAAUAUCAAAGGUGAGCCAGUACAGGAUGGACCCGCGUCUGAUUAGCUAGUUGGUAAGGUAACGGCUUACCAAGGCGACGAUCAGUAGCCGACCUGAGAGGGUGAUCGGCCACAUUGGAACUGAGACACGGUCCAAACUCCUACGGGAGGCAGCAGUGGGGAAUAUUGCACAAUGGGCGAAAGCCUGAUGCAGCAACGCCGCGUGAGUGAUGAAGGCCUUCGGGUCGUAAAACUCUGUCCUCAAGGAAGAUAAUGACGGUACUUGAGGAGGAAGCCCCGGCUAACUACGUGCCAGCAGCCGCGGUAAUACGUAGGGGGCUAGCGUUAUCCGGAUUUACUGGGCGUAA